rnacentral:rRNA from 1 species
UACGUAGGUGGCAAGCGUUGUCCGGAUUUACUGGGCGUAAAGAGCGCGCAGGCGGUUGGAUAAGUCGAAUGUGAAAGCCCCCGGCUCAACUGGGGAGGGUCAUUCGAUACUGUCCGACUCGAAGGCAGGAGAGGGAAGCGGAAUUCCCGGUGUAGUGGUGAAAUGCGUAGAUAUCGGGAGGAACACCAGUGGCGAAGGCGGCUUUCUGGCCUGUUCUUGACGCUGAGGCGCGAAAGCCAGGGGAGCAAAGCGGG